GACGAACGCUGGCGGCGUGCCUAACGCAUGCAAGUCGAGCGAGUUAAUCUCCUUCGGGAGUGAAACUAGCGGCGGACGGGUGAGUAACACGUGGGCAACCUACCUCAUAGAGGGGAAUAGCCUUCCGAAAGGAAGAUUAAUACCGCAUAAGAUUGUAGCUUCGCACGAAGUAGCAAUUAAAGGAGCAAUCCGCUAUGAGAUGGGCCCGCGGCGCAUUAGCUAGUUGGUGAGGUAACGGCUCACCAAGGCGACGAUGCGUAGCCGACCUGAGAGGGUGAUCGGCCACAUUGGGACUGAGACACGGCCCAGACUCCUACGGGAGGCAGCAGUGGGGAAUAUUGCACAAUGGGGGAAACCCUGAUGCAGCAACGCCGCGUGAGUGAUGACGGCCUUCGGGUUGUAAAGAUCUUUCAGUGGGGAAGAUAAUGACUGUACCCACAGAAGAAGCCCCGGCUAACUCCGUGCCAGCAGCCGCCGUAAGAC
rnacentral:rRNA from 1 species